UACGUAGGGUGCGAGCGUUGUCCGGAAUUAUUGGGCGUAAAGAGCUUGUAGGUGGUUUGUCGCGUCUGCUGUGAAAGUCGGGGGCUCAACCCUCGGAUGCCGGUGGAUACUGUCGGGCUUGAGUACGGAAGAGGCGAGUGGAAUUCCUGGUGUAGCGGUGAAAUGCGUAGAUAUCAGGAGGAAUACCGAUGGCGAAGGCAGGUCUCUGGGCUAUAACUGACGCUCAUGCACGAAAGCGUGGGGAGCAAACAGG
rnacentral:rRNA from 1 species